GAUGAACGCUGGCGGCGUGCCUAAUACAUGCAAGUCGAGCGAACGGACGAGAAGCUUGCUUCUCUGAUGUUAGCGGCGGACGGGUGAGUAACACGUGGAUAACCUACCUAUAAGACUGGGAUAACUUCGGGAAACCGGAGCUAAUACCGGAUAAUAUUUUGAACCGCAUGGUUCAAAAGUGAAAGACGGUCUUUCUGUCACUUAUAGAUUGAUCCGCACUGCAUUAGCUAGUUGGUAAGGUAAAGGCUUACCAAGGCAACGAUGCAUAGCCGACCUGAGAGGGUGAUCGGCCACACUGGAACUGAGACGCGGUCCAGACUCCUACGGGAGGCAGCAGUAGGGAAUCUUCCGCAAUGGGCGAAAGCCUGACGGAGCAACGCCGCGUGAGUGAUGAAGGUCUUCGGAUCGUAAAACUCUGUUAUUAGGGAAGAACAUAUGUGUAAGUAACUGUGCACAUCUUGACGGUACCUAAUCAGAAAGCCACGGCUAACUACGUG
rnacentral:rRNA from 1 species